AAUAGGAAAUAGCCACUAAGUAGGACAACUGUGAACAGGACUUCUGUGGGAGGAGGGCGGUAUGGGGAACACUGCCUUAAUUCCAAAGAUUCUGUAGUGAAUAUGGUCAAUCUCUUCCACAGUCUCUUGGAUUGAAGGUACCUGUUCUCAGAUCCAAAGCUAAGAAGGACUCUGAGCCAUGUUCAGUUUUAGCUUAGGCCAUAGGCUUAUAGCCACAACCCUAGCCUUCUAGCUAUAAAACUAUCCUCCUAGGACUUAGACUUGGAAACCACUGAGAAAUCCAGGAACAAUAUUUGCCAGUGAAGACAGAUGAACAAUUUAUCAAAAAUUUCCUUCUUCUACUUUCAAGAAAAAGUAUGUAGUAACAAAAGGAGCAAAAACUAUGAUCCUCCUGAACCUUUCCCAAUAGAAGAGGGUCAUGGGAGGUGAAGAUAUGAAUCUGAGGAAGAGCUGGCACCCACAAACCUCCCAAAAUGUGGAGAAAAAGUAUGGAAGGCUGAGCUGAUGUGGAAUGGAAAAAGAUUGAGGAGCUGCAGUGGGAGCUUCAGGAAGAGAGGGCAAGGGAGGAGAUGCAAUGCUAUGCACAGGAUGUGAGAGCUGUCAAAAAAAAAAAAAGAAAAAAGAAAAUGAAAACUGGAAUGGAUGUACCGGGGGCU
rnacentral:lncRNA from 1 species